rnacentral:rRNA from 1 species
CCUACGGGAGGCAGCAGUGGGGAAUAUUGGGCAAUGGGCGCAAGCCUGACCCAGCAACGCCGCGUGAAGGAAGAAGGCUUUCGGGUUGUAAACUUCUUUUCUGAGGGACGAAGAAAGUGACGUUACCUCAGGAAUAAGCCACUGCUAACUACGUGCCAGCAGCCGCGGUAAUACGUAGGUGGCAAGCGUUAGCCGGAUUUAUUGGGUGUAAAGGGCGUGUAGGCGGGAAAGCAAGUCAGAUGUGAAAACUUAGGGCUCAACCCUGAGCCUGCAUUUGAAACUGUUUUUCUUGAGUGCUGGAGAGGCAAUCGGAAUUCGGUGUGUAGCGGUGAAAUGCGUAGAUAUACGGAGGAACACCAGUGGCGAAGGCGGAUUGCUGGACAGUAACUGACGCUGAGGCGCGAAAGCGUGGGGAGCAAACAGGAUUAGAUACCCGAGUAGUC